AGUUUGAAUCUGGCUCAGGAUGAACGCUGGCGGCGUGCUUAACACAUGCAAGUCGAACGGUGAACACGGAGCUUGCUCUGUGGGAUCAGUGGCGAACGGGUGAGUAACACGUGAGCAACCUGCCCCUGACUCUGGGAUAAGCGCUGGAAACGGCGUCUAAUACUGGAUAUGUGACGUGACCGCAUGGUCUGCGUCUGGAAAGAAUUUCGGUUGGGGAUGGGCUCGCGGCCUAUCAGCUUGUUGGUGAGGUAAUGGCUCACCAAGGCGUCGACGGGUAGCCGGCCUGAGAGGGUGACCGGCCACACUGGGACUGAGACACGGCCCAGACUCCUACGGGAGGCAGCAGUGGGGAAUAUUGCACAAUGGGCGCAAGCCUGAUGCAGCAACGCCGCGUGAGGGACGACGGCCUUCGGGUUGUAAACCUCUUUUAGCAGGGAAGAAGCGAAAGUGACGGUACCUGCAGAAAAAGCGCCGGCUAACUACGUGCCAGCAGCCGCGGUAAUACGUAGGGCGCAAGCGUUAUCCGGAAUUAUUGGGCGUAAAGAGCUCGUAGGCGGUUUGUCGCGUCUGCUGUGAAAUCCGGAGGCUCAACCUCCGGCCUGCAGUGGGUACGGGCAGACUAGAGUGCGGUAGGGGAGAUUGGAAUUCCUGGUGUAGCGGUGGAAUGCGCAGAUAUCAGGAGGAACACCGAUGGCGAAGGCAGAUCUCUGGGCCGUAACUGACGCUGAGGAGCGAAAGGGUGGGGAGCAAACAGGCUUAGAUACCCUGGUAGUCCACCCCGUAAACGUUGGGAACUAGUUGUGGGGUCCAUUCCACGGAUUCCGUGACGCAGCUAACGCAUUAAGU
rnacentral:rRNA from 1 species